CAGAGUACCGGGACCCCAGGUCCCUACUCCCAUCCCAUGUUAACUUUUUACCGUUGCUUUGGCGGAUCGGUGGUCCGACUGCCGCCGGCCCUAGGCUGGAGAGCGUCCGCCAGAGGAUCUUUAAACGCUGUUUUAAACAUGCGCUCUGAGUACAACUUAAUUAGAAUCA
rnacentral:misc_RNA from 1 species